AGAGUUUGAUCCUGGCUCAGGAUGAACGCUAGCUACAGGCUUAACACAUGCAAGUCGAGGGGCAGCAUGGUCUUAGCUUGCUAAGGCCGAUGGCGACCGGCGCACGGGUGAGUAACGCGUAUCCAACCUGCCUUACACUCUUGGACAGCCUUCUGAAAGGGAGAUUAAUACAAGAUGUUAUCAUGAGUAAGCAUUUUCGCAUGAUUAAAGGUUACCGGUGUAAGAUGGGGAUGCGUUCCAUUAGAUAGUAGGCGGGUAACGGCCACCUAGUCUUCGAUGGAUAGGGGUUCUGAGAGGAAGGUCCCCCANAUUGGAACUGAGACACGGUCCAAACCCUCGGGAGGCA
rnacentral:rRNA from 1 species